GCCGGAGCUUAGGAAUUUCGAUCCAUUCUUACUUCUGGAUUUUGCCUCUUUUUCUCCUCCUGCCGGUUUCCCCGAUCAUCCUCAUAGAGGAUUCGAGACUGUAACUUACGUCUUAGAGGGAAAUCUCGCUCACGAAGAUUUUGCCGGCCAUAAGGGGAUUAUCGGACCCGGCGAUCUCCAGUGGAUGACUGCUGGAAGAGGAAUCCUCCACUCGGAAAUGCCGGUCGGCAAUACCGUCAACAAGGGGCUCCAGCUCUGGAUCAAUCUCUCCUCCAAAGAGAAGAUGAUAGAACCAAAGUACCAGGAGCUCCAAAGCAAGGACAUAAACAGAGUCACCAAAAAUGGCGUCGACGUCCGCAUAAUAGCAGGGGAAGCAUUCGGCGUGCGGUCUCCCAUCUACACCCGAACUCCGACCAUGUAUCUGGACUUCACCAUGAAUCCCGGAGCUCAGCUCCACCAACUCAUCCCUGAAGGUUGGAACGCAUUCGCCUACAUCAUACAGGGCGAGGGUGUCUUCGGCGACGAAAGCUCCUCCCCUGUUUCGAGCCACCACACUCUGGUUUUAAGCAAUGGGGAUGGGGUGAGGGUGUGGAACAAAUCCGGGGGAGAGUUGAGGUUCAUGCUCAUUGCAGGGCAGCCGUUGAAUGAGCCAGUGGUUCAAUACGGGCCGUUCGUCAUGAAUACGCGCGAAGAGAUAGAGCAGGCGUUUGAGGAUUAUCAGCUUUGUAAGAAUGGGUUUGAGAAGGCCAGAUAUUGGAAGACGAAGGCUUAGAAGAGUCCUGGCGAUGAAGAAUUGAAAGGGAUUUGUUAGUUUGGGGAAGAUCAGUUUCAAGCUUAUUAUUGUUAUUGAAAAAAUUUUCAGUUGGGGGGAGAGGAAAUGAAGAAUCGGGGAAGAUGAACUGAAGGGUUGGACAGUCGAACUGAAAAGAUAAGAAGCGAGAAGUCCGGAAGAGGAAGCGAACAGUAGAGAAACCGAAGAGGGCAAUUCGCUCUAUAAAUCAACUGUGAGACGGGAGCUCGGAGAUGCAGUCAACAAGUAGAGGAAGAAAGGAAGGAGAAAAAAGUUGUCGAAGUAGAUGCUGUUGGGUUCUUUGCGUGCAAAGGUAGGCAUCGAAGCCACGGAAGGAAGCAACAAAUUCAGCUGUUCGGGUCAAUCAGAGCCCUAGCCGAUCAAAAUCGAGAGGGAAGGAGAAAGAGGUGACGUGCGGCUUACCUACGAACAUUUCCUCGAGCUUACAGAAUGAUAAGGCCUGGAGCGGCUCUGUAGAUUGUCGCAAGCAGCAAGCGAGAGGAAGAUGUAGAUCUCGCGUGUAAUGUUGAGUUCAGCAGUAGGAAGGAUCCUUGUGCUUGAAGAAGAAAACGAGAGGAAGUCUGUGCGCUUGGAGUUUGAUUGCAGGAGUUCUGUGGAGCUUCGAACAGUACUGUGCGAAGGCGAAGCGAGGAAGGAACA